AGUUCGACCGCGGCUCAGAUUGAACGGCGGGAUGUUUACACAUGCAAGUCGAACGGCAGCACGGACUUCGGUCCGGUGGUGAGCGGCGAACGGGUGAGUAAUGCAUAUCGUGGGAACGCCUAGUAGCGGGGGAUAACCACGGCGAAAGCGUAGCCAAUACGGCAUGGCCAACCCUCGGGGGAAAGCGGGGACCUUCGGCCUCGUGCAAUUAGAGCGGCCGAUAUCGGAUUAGCCAGCUGGUGGGGCAACGGCUCACCAAGGCGACGAUCCGUAGCUGGUUUGAGAGGACGACCAGCCACACUGGGACUGAGACACGGCCCAGACUCACGGGAAAGGCAGGGCUCUUGGACAAUGGGGAACCCGGAUCCGCGCCAUCCCGCGUGUGCGAUGAAGGCCUCUUGGGUUGUAAAGCACUUUUUGGCAGGAAAGAAACGGCAUCGGAUAGCACUUCGCAAGGUAACUGACGGUACCUGCAGAAUAAGCACUGGCUAACUACGUGCCAGCAGCCGCGGUAAUACGUAGGGGUGCAAGCGUUAAUCGGAAUUACUGAAGUAAAGCGUACGCAGGCGGUUCGAAAGAAAGAGCGAAAUCCCAGAGCUUAACUUUGGAACCAGUAUUUUUAACUACCGAGCUAGAGUGUACAGAGGGAGGUGGAAUUCCACGUAGCAGUGAAAUGCGUAUAUGCGGAGGAACACCUGAUGGCGAAGGCAGCCUCCUGGGAUAACACUGACGUUCAUGCACGAAAGCGUGGGAGCAAACAGGAUUAGGAGGUUUCGGUGCAGUCCACACCAAACGAUGUCAACUAUUGCUAGCCUCGGGCCUUUGGUAAGGCAGCUUAACGCGUGUUGACCGCCCGGGGAGACGUGGUCGUAAGAAACCAAAGAAUUGAUGCGACCGCACAAGCGGUGGAUGAUGUGAUUAAUUCAGAUGCAAACGCGAAAACCUACCUACCCUUGGCUGAUGGUCUGGAAUCCUUGGUGACGGGGAGUGCUCAAAGAAGAGAACCGGAACACAGGUGCUGUAUUGCUGUCGUCAGCUCGCCGUGAGAUGUUGGGUUGUCCUGCAACGAGCGCAACCUUGUCAUUAGUUGUUUACGAAAGGGCACUGUACGUGAGACUGCCGGUGACAAACCGGAGGAAGGUGAUGACGUCGUCCUCAUGGCCCUUAUGGGCAGGGCUUCACACGUCAUACAAUGGUCGGGACAGAUAUCGCCAACCCGCGAGGGGGAGCCAAUCCCAGAACCUGAUCGUAGUCCGGAUCGCAGUCUGCAACUCGACUGCGUGAAGUCGGAAUCGCUAGUAAUCGUGAUCAGCAUGUCGUAGAAUACGUUCCGGGUCUUGUACACCGCCCGUCACACCAUGGGAGGGUUUACCAGAAGUAGUUAGCCUAACCGUAAGGAGGGCGAUUACCACGGUAGGAUUCACGACUAGUGGUGUCGUAACAAGGUAG
rnacentral:rRNA from 1 species